UAGGGAAUCUUCCGCAAUGGACGAAAGUCUGACGGAGCAACGCCGCGUGAGUGAUGAAGGCUUUUCGGGUCGUAAAACUCUGUUGUUAGGGAAGAACAAGUGCUAGUUGAAUAAGCUGGCACCUUGACGGUACCUAACCAGAAAGCCACGGCUAACUACGUGCC
rnacentral:rRNA from 1 species